rnacentral:rRNA from 1 species
AUUGAACGCUGGCGGCAGGCCUAACACAUGCAAGUCGAGAGAGCGGCGGACGGGUGAGUAAUGUCUGGGAAACUGCCUGAUGGAGGGGGAUAACUACUGGAAACGGUAGCUAAUAACGCAUACCAUCAGAUGUGCCCAGGUGGGAGUAGCUAGUAGGUGGGGUAACGGCUCACCUAGGCGACGUUCCCUAGCUGGUCUGAGAGGAUGACCAGCCACACUGGAACUGAGACACGGCCCAGACUCCUACGGGAGGCAGCAGUGGGGAAUAUUGCACAAUGGGCGCAAGCCUGAUGCAUCCAUGCCGCGUGUGUGAAGAAGGCCUUCGGGUUGUAAAGCACUUUCAGUGGGGAGGCGUUACCCUCAGAAGAAGCACCGGCUAACUCCGUGCCAGCAGCCGCGGUAAUAC